rnacentral:rRNA from 1 species
UACGUAGGGUGCGAGCGUUAAUCGGAAUUACUGGGCGUAAAGCGUGCGUAGGUGGUUCGUUAAGUCUGAUGUGAAAGCCCUGGGCUCAACCUGGGAAUGGCAUUGGAAACUGGCGACCUAGAGUGCGGUAGAGGGUAGUGGAAUUCCCGGUGUAGCAGUGAAAUGCGUAGAGAUCGGGAGGAACAUCUGUGGCGAAGGCGACUGCCUGGACCAGCACUGACACUGAGGCACGAAAGCGUGGGGAGCAAACAGG